UAAUCUGGGCUAUGCCUUUCAUCUGGGA
rnacentral:piRNA from 1 species